rnacentral:ncRNA from 1 species
GGCUCAAGUCCUUCUGAUGGAGGCCCAGCCCCAGGCUUGGGUCUUCCCGGAGUCGGGUUGCUUGGGAAUGCAGCCCAAAGCGGGUGGUAAACUCCAUCUAAGGCUAAAUACGGGCAUGAGACCGAUAGUCAACAAGUACCUUAAGG